rnacentral:lncRNA from 1 species
AAAAAUCACAAUCAAAAUCAGACCAGAUUCUUCUAAUCACGUUGAUUAGACUUUUUUUACUACAAAAUCGAAUCAGUCUAAAUUUCAUAAUCGAACUCAACAUCAAAAUUUUUCAGGUAAUUACCUCAACUCACGAGUUAGUCGAUGUUCAAGCUUCAAGUUCGAGCUUCCACAGAGGCGACCCCAGCCUUCUUUUUCCACGUCUCGAUCUUAACAAUUCAACCAAUAGAUCUAAUAUAAUAAAUAAGUAAGCGUAAAUCAAAAACCUAAAACAGAAUCGAUGAAAAUUGUAUUGGCUAGAGAGAGAGAGUAGUAGGUUACCUUUGAAACUCAAGAAAAUCACUACUAUUAUCCCUUGUCGCUUCCUCUGUGUCUAUUGGGUCUGAUUAAUUAACCGCAUCUUGCCUAGAAAAACUCUGUCACACCUCAAGAACCAUUU